AUAGUAAGUCGGUUCAUCGCUCGUGAUUGGAAGAAAGCAAGCGUUGCUUAAUCCCAUUACGAGAGGAAAGUCCGGGCAACAUAGAGCACUACACUGGUUAACGGCCAGCACUCAGUGAUGGGUGGUUAGUGGAACAGCGACGAUGGCGUCUAAUAGACGAUGAAACGGUCACACUGUAGGUUGCAAUCUCAUGUAAACCAACAAUGUAGUCUCCGACUAUGAGAGGGUUGCUCGUCCAAUGUUGGAGGGUAGAGAGCUAGAGGUAUGCAGCAAUGUAUAUCCAAGAUUAAUGAUGAACAUGGAGUCAUCCAUACAGAACCCGGCUUAUAGACUUACUAUCUUU
rnacentral:RNase_P_RNA from 1 species